rnacentral:piRNA from 1 species
UUGAACCAAUUGUAGUUGUGUCAUGGAGGU